CAGCUUUCAAAUCCCUUACUCACUCUUCCUUCAGUUAGUCCUGACGAAGGGUCUCGGCCUGAAACGUCGACUGCGCCUCUUCCUAUAGAUGCUGCCUGGCCUGCUGCGUUCACCAGCAACUUUGAUAAGCAAAUGGCUUUAAGCAAAAAAAAGCGACAUGAGAGGUUCAACAGAUGCGGUCAGCGUCUACAGAAAGGAAUAAAGUGUUGCCGUGUGGCCCGAGAUCCUUCAUCGGUGCACGCACUUGCUCGUGAGUCUUCACAAUGAGGAGCUCCAAAGUAGUUAGAAACAGAUGAACCGAUAGCAUGAAACAAAGAUAAAACGUUUCCGUCAUUGGAACUGCCACUCACUGGAUGUUUUUUGCACUCUUCUCUACAAACUCCAGAGACUGUUGUGUGUGAAAAUCUCAGGAGAUCAGCAAUUUCUGAGAUACUCAAACCACCUCACCUGGUACCAACAAUCACUGCAUGGUCAAAGUCAAUGAGAUCACAUUUCUUCUUCCAUUCUGAUGUUUGGUCUGAACAACAACUGAACCUCUUCACCAUGUCUGCAUGCUUUAUUGCAUUGAGCUGCUGCCACAUGAUUGGCUGAUUAGAUAUUUGCAUUAAGAAGCAGGUGUACGGCUGGACCCAAUAAAGUGGACACUGAGUGAUAUUGUUAUUCAGAUUCGCACUUGAUGCAAUUUUUUCACGUUGUCCACUGUCAAUACAACUGCAUCCAAUUUAAUGUAUUAAUUUCUUACUUAUUUGAAGAUAUUCUAGAUCAAUAUUUCUGAUCAAGUAUCAACCCAUGAUCAUCUCACUGAAAUGAAUCAUUGCUUACUGACCAUUGUAUAGCACCACACAUCUGGGACUGAUGAUGCACAAAUAUGCUUACCCGGGGGAAUCUGUUUUGUUAAUAGAGGCAAAACUAAAGUUAGUCGCAAUUAUCGAGCAAUAAUUACAGAUACCAAUAAUAAAUAUCAGUCAUGUGAAUUAUGAAUCAUUUUGUGUGCUGUAGUGAUGUAAAUUUUAACUCCAAGUCUCCUGCACAUGUUUGAACUUGAACUGCUAUGUAUUGACAACAAUGGUAAGCCUUCCUUCUCUUUCUUUGUCUGGGAUUCAUCACAAGACUGGAGAACUCCCACGUGUGGUAGAUCCACCAAUGAAUUUCCAUUGUUUCUAUUAGUUACACAUGGGAAAUGAACUAUCUAAGUUAAGUGAGCUACUUUGCUGCCAGGAAACUUUUGUAACGGGAAGAGAAUAUUAAACUGCCUUAAUAAAGAAAACAACUGUUAUUAAAUUAGGCCUUUUCAAAGGGAGGUGAUGGGCGUAAUUGCACAGAUCAGUUUUACACCUCUCCCAACAUUCUAUAAAUGCAAGCCACUAAGAUAACAUUCCUCUUGUUCCUAAAUGUUCAGCAUGCAUCUGAAUGCAAAAACAACGUGCCAUCUCCUCUUUGGAAAUGGAAUCCUGCAAAGAGUUUCUAGGCUUUAUGCAGACAGAAUGUGUGAGCAAACAGUGAUCUGGUUCAUAUGAGCAGUCAUAGGGAAUGCCUGCUUUCCCCCGGCAGAUUACUUUGCUUUGCAAAUGAACCACCAGUUGUUUAUUGUGUGCAAAUGAUGUCCCAACUUCCGUGGAAAAGACUUUAUAAAUUGAAGGCAAGGAUGAGAGAUCAUAGGCAGUUUUUUGUCAGCAUUGUUGAUGGGCAUUGAUAACUCUCAAAAUAUGCGUUUAUGUGUUUGUUAGUUUAUUUAUUUAUGUACGCACGUAUGUCCAGGUAUGUAUUGAGAUACAGCUUGGAAUAGGCCCUUCUGGCCCUUCAAACCUUGCCGCCCAGCAGUCCCCCAAUUUAAUCCUAGCCUAAUCAUGGGACAAUUUACAAUGACCAAUGAACCGACCAACAAGUAAGUCUUUGGACCGUGAGAGGAAGCUGGAGCACCAGCUGGCCACCUGGUCAGAGGGUAUAAACUCCUUACAGGCUACGGCAGGAAUUGAACUGCAGGUCGCCCGUACUGCAAAGCAUUGUGCUGACUGCUAUGCCACCACACCACCCCCGUUCUAGGUGAGUCCAUGGCACCUUAAAGAUUAAAGAAAGGGUGCUUCAGUAACAAAUAUAAUCACCCAGGGACAUAAUUGAAAGAUUGAAGGAGUUCACAACAUCAGCACAUGAUAAGGGGUAACUUGUACGUUGUCAAGAAGGCAAAUGAACUACCUAAUGUUCUCGCAAUUGCUGCCAAAUCAAUAAUGAAAGCAUUUUUCAGUCCUUUGAAGGAUCCUCCUUUCUAAGAAAAGUAUUGGCAAGGCUCCUAUUCUUAGUCACCGCAAUUGUGGGUCACAGAAAACUUGUUUCGUCUUGCCAGAUAAAUGGAUUAAUAGUACAAUAGAUUUUAAAUGUUUUCCAAUUUUUUCUGCUUUUAAUAGUCAAAAAGGCAUAAUCAUCUUGGCAACCUUUUAUCAUACAAUGGGUUGUUUAAUGAAUCACCCUAUGGCCAAACAUUAGAAAAUUUAAAUACACUUGCUAGUCACAGAGAGUUUCCCAGAUGACAGAGAAAUCUGUAUGCUUUGCAUUCAAUUCACCUCAGCACUUUUCUUUGAUUUUCAUUCGAUAUUUACUUCAGCACUCUUUGAUGUUCACUUGACUUUUCUGUAAUGAUGCUGAGAGCAUUGAGCUAGAAGUGGAUUUUGAAAAUAAUAUGGCAAUUGUUUCAGUGUACAUUUUCCUAUAAUCAGGCCCAUGUCUCUUCACGUGUUCCAAAGUAUUAGCAUCAAACCCAAUACUUGUGACUGCGUGAUUGUGUUUAAAAUGCCAAGCUGCUCACUAAAGUCAGAAGGUUAUAUUCCGCUGAUGAUUCAAAUCUUUCCAGGAUGUAUUGCAAAUUUCUUAGUAAACUGGUGAAGUGGUCAUUUAAAAAUUUUUAAAUUAAAAAUUUAAGAAGUGACAUAAAUUUCAUUUAUUUCAUCAUUUGUAAACGUUUAGAACAUUAACUUAAAAAGAUUUUCUAGAUCAUUACCAUAGCAAUUGCCAAACAUAUAAACACUGAAUUUAAAACUGUUCCUGGCAAUAAAGUUAAACAAGAACCAUAAUGUAAAAUUUCUUUCGGUCAGUACUCAGUGAGGCUUGAUCAGUAUAUCUAAGCUCAACUGCAAUGUGUGCUUGUUUCCCAAAGAGUUAUGAAAAAGACCCGUGAAGACCUUCAAGCAAACAAGUUUUCGGGCAACAUCCAAUAUUUGCAGCACUUCAACAUCGUUUAACUAUGGCUUGUUGUGGUGGGAAAACUAGUGUUUUAAAACAGAAACAGUUACAGUAACACACAUCAAAGUUGCUGGUGAACGCAGCAGGCCAGGCAGCAUCUCUAGGAAGAGGUGCAGUCGACG